rnacentral:rRNA from 1 species
UACGUAGGGGGCAAGCGUUAUCCGGAAUCAUUGGGCGUAAAGAGCGUGUAGGCGGCCUGGUAAGUCCGCUGUGAAAGUCCAGGGCUCAACCCUGGAAUGCCGGUGGAAACUGUCAGGCUCGAGUCCGGAAGAGGCGAGUGGAAUUCCUGGUGUAGCGGUGAAAUGCGCAGAUAUCAGGAGGAACACCAAUGGCGAAGGCAGCACUCUGGGACGUGACUGACGCUGAGACGCGAAAGCGUGGGGAGCAAACAGG